rnacentral:lncRNA from 7 species
CUUUGGAACAGGUUUCUCAAAGAUAUAGGGCAGGCUCAAGGAAUGGACAAAGCCCUCAGUAACCUGUUCCAAUUUCAUGGUUGACCCUGGUCUCAGUAGAUCAGACUACAGAACUCUUGAGGAAAACUCAUAGAAAGAGGAACUGGCAAGACUCACUGUGUCAUUAAAAGACUAUAGAAAAGUAUUAAUAAGUUCACAGCUUCUCACACCUGGGAGGAGUCACCUGGAAAAGUCUCCAGCUAUGGCCAUUCUGAUGGUGACUGAAGCUCCGCCCCUCCAAGGAUACAGACACAUUAAGAUCACACACUGAGCUGCAGCAGUUCAGCUUUCUGGUCCCUUUACUUCUUUGAUAAUGACAAAAUGGAAAAUACACGGGCUGGAGAGACUACCUAAAUAAAAGCUGUUGAUGAAGGGGGAAGAAAAUGACAACAUCAAGGAGCUAAUGAGUACAUUUCAUUAAUUCUGAAUUUCUACCCUGUGGGUUGCUGUGAAUUUAAAAACCUGAAGAAGAAGAAAAAAAAGAAAAAACAACAAAGAAGAGCUAGGACUUCUUCAUAAAAUAUAACAGUUUAUAAAUAUCUUUUUGUUUUUACAAACUAAAAACAUGUUCCCAUUUUUUUUACAAGAAGUCAUCAAAUUAUGUAUUUUUCUACUGAACAUGUCAAAUUUUACAAAGGAAAUUUUUUCAGCUAUAGAAAUUAUGAUUUGUAAGUUGUUUAGAAUCCAAAAUGGUGUUGUGAUUUAUUUCCCCAAAGAGUUGCUGAUCUGUUCUGAAAUCAUUAUUUCAAUUUGUAUCAUACAGCUGUGAUUGGAAAAGUGCUAUUUCUUUAUAUUUCUUUAUCUGAAAAUAGUAAUUUACUUUUCCAAAUGCUCUCAAAGGAUAACCAAUGUGAUACACCUUCCUAUUAAGACAAUACCUACCUACAACCUAGGCACUUAUUACCAUGCCUUUAAUCCAUCAGUGAAAACCUGAUGCCAUACUUCUGUUUGCACUGCUUCUCCCACCCUAACCAACACAUUUGCCAAAGACGAUAUUCACAGACCUCUAAGAGGAACAGAAAGAAAAAAAAACUACAUUACAUCAGAGGUCAUUAAAAACUGAAAAGUUAGGAGUGGUUUUUCUCACUUCUGUCAUUCAUAACAUUUGUAAAAUGCAAUUACGUGUGUUCACAAUCAGUCAGCAACACUGUACAACAGCAGAUACUGAAAUUCUAAUGUACAGAAGUAGUGGUUCUGUUUGGGCUGGUUUUUAUGUAGGCUGAUUAGCUUUAACAAAACAACUUAAAAAAGGCCAAGGCCUGAUUCUGCUCCAUCUUUGGCAAAGAUGAGGAGUUAUUUCCAGCCUUGUCAAGAAUGAAUGCAUCUCAUAGAUGAUAUGAGAUUAGAUUUAGAGCCAUUAUCAUUUCUGCAGGAUGGAAUUCUCCUGUAAAGUUAAAUAUAUAGAAUAACAGUUCUGUUUAUUAAUCUGGGGGUUCAAUAUACAUUUUCUAGUGAUUUGCAUACUUUAAAAACUCAUGCCCCUCUAGAAUACUAUGGAAAGGGACUAAUGUCUGUUUAUAUAUAUUAAUGUUUAGUAUAAAGAAAGUUCAGUAUGAAAGAAAAAGAAACCCAUCCCCUCAGCUGGUAAAUCAUUUCUUUGUCUUCCAAGUUAUUUUCCUUUUUCUGACAGGCUCAAGUUAAGAGAAUAUCAAUAACAAAUGCCAGAAGUCUCAUUUCAACUACGGGACCUGUAGAAAAGGGAAGAGAGAAAUUUCCUAACCACAACCUCUAUCAUUUGCACUCUAAGCCUCUGUGGAUCACAAACAAAUAAAUAAGCUGCUCCUAUUUAGCUUCUACUUCUGAGAGAGUGUACUAUAUCAUUUAUAAAGGUCCUUAAAGCCCUGUGGAAAUGUAAGUUUUAUGCAUCUUUUAAAAAAAGUUCAACAC